CUAGGAGAUCACGAGCAGUCUGACCAGCCAUGCCGCGUGAAGGAUAAGGUCCUCUGGAUUGUAAACUUCUUUUAUCUGGGACGAAAAAAGGCGAUUCUUCGUCACUUGACGGUACCAGAUGAAUAAGCACCGGCUAACUCCGUGCCAGCAGCCGCGGUAAUA
rnacentral:rRNA from 1 species